GGGCCCGCACAAGCGGUGGAGCAUGUGGUUUAAUUCGAUGCAACGCGAAGAACCUUACCUACUCUUGACAUCCUUGGAAUUCUCUAGAGAUAGAGAAGUGCCUUCGGGAACCAAGUGACAGGUGCUGCAUGGCUGUCGUCAGCUCGUGUCGUGAGAUGUUGGGUUAAGUCCCGUAACGAGCGCAACCCUCACCCUUAGUUGCCAUCAGCUUGGCUGGGAACUCUAAGGGGACUGCCGGUGAUAAACCGGAGGAAGGUGGGGAUGAUGUCAAGUCAUCAUGGCCCUUACGAGUAGGGCUACACACGUGCUACAAUGGGCAGUACAAAGGGUUGCUAAGCCGCGAGGUGGAGCUAAUCCCAGAAAGCUGCUCUUAGUCCGGAUUGGAGUCUGCAACUCGACUCCAUGAAGUUGGAAUCGCUAGUAA
rnacentral:rRNA from 1 species